CCGCCUCCUCCUCCCAUCCCGCCUGCUCGGCGGCGGAGGCGGCGGCGGCGGCAGCGGUUGUUCCUGCCUCUCCGCCACCUCCACCGCGGCUUAUCCCCUGGCUGGCGGCGUUGGCGGGGCGGGGGACAGUAGUUGUAGACGCCCGCCCCUGCCUCAGAGAAGAUACCACACUGAAUGAACAAAGACUGAACCUUUACAGAUACCUUUUAUAAAAGAUGUCUGUGGAGUAGUGUUACAGUUCAAAUAACAAAGGAUUUUGCAUUAUGAGAUGAAUGAGAGUGGAGAAUUGGACAAAAAUUGAUUUUUAGUUUCUGAAUCAUGGUUUUUAGCUCACCAGUUAUUGUAUAGUCUCACUCUUUGAAAGUUCAUGCUGAAAAACUGAGUGAAUAUGAUCAGAUUUCUCCACCAAAUUCUCAGCCUGAUAAGGGUAAGUAAGGUUCCAUUCACCUCUUUGUUCAUCUCUGUGCCAUCUGUGGUCCUUUGGAACUGGCUUCUUUCACAUAGCAUAAUGUCUUCAAGCUUCAUUCGUGUUGUACCAUAUAUCAGUACUUCAUUCCUUUUUACUGCUAAAUAAUAUUAUAUGAAUAUACCGCAUUUUGUUUAUCCAUUUAUCGGUUGAUGGGCAUUGGGUUGAUUAUUUCUACUUUUUAGUUGUGAUGAAUAGUGCUGUUGUGAACAUUUGUGUACAACUUCUUGCAUAGACAUAGGUUUUCAUUCUUUUGGCUGUAUAUGGGUGGAAUUGCUAAGUGGAAUUGAUGAAACUGCUGCUAAGUUAUUUUCCAAAGUAGGUGCACCAUUUUACAUUUCCACAAACAAUGAAUGAAGUUUCCA